AGUGAACGCUGGCGGUAGGCCUAACACAUGCAAGUCGAACGGCAGCACAGGAGAGCUUGCUCUCUGGGUGGCGAGUGGCGGACGGGUGAGGAAUACAUCGGAAUCUACUCUGUCGUGGGGGAUAACGUAGGGAAACUUACGCUAAUACCGCAUACGACCUACGGGUGAAAGCAGGGGAUCUUCGGACCUUGCGUGGUUGAAUGAGCCGAUGUCGGAUUAGCUAGUUGGCGGGGUAAAGGCCCACCAAGGCGACGAUCCGUAGCUGGUCUGGAAGGAUGAUCAGCCACACUGGAACUGAGACACGGUCCAGACUCCUACGGGAGGCAGCAGUGGGGAAUAUUGGACAAUGGGCGCAAGCCUGAUCCAGCCAUCCCGCGUGGGUGAAGAAGGCCUUCGGGUUGUAAAGCCCUUUUGUUGGGAAAGAAAUCCAGCUGGCUAAUACCCGGUUGGGAUGACGGUACCCAAAGAAUAAGCACCGGCUAACUUCGUGCCAGCCGCCGCAGUAA
rnacentral:rRNA from 1 species